rnacentral:rRNA from 1 species
AAAAAAGGUAAGCUACUAAGAGCGAAUGGUGGAUGCCUUGACUGGUAAAGGCGAUGAAGGACGUACUAGACUGCGAUAAGCUACGGGGAGCUGUCAAGAAGCUUUGAUCCGUAGAUUUCCGAAUGGGGCAACCCAAUGUAUAGAGAUAUACAUUACCUAUAUAGGAGCGAACGAGGGGAAUUGAAACAUCUUAGUACCCUCAGGAAAAGAAAUCAAUAGAGAUUGCGUCAGUAGCGGCGAGCGAAAGCGCAAGAGGGCAAACCCAGUGCUUGCACUGGGGGUUGUAGGACUGCAAUGUGCAAGAGCUGAGUUUAGCAGAACAUUCUGGAAAGUAUAGCCAUAGAGGGUGAUAGUCCCGUAUGCGAAAAACAAAGCUUAGCUAGCAGUAUCCUGAGUAGGGCGGGACACGAGGAAUCCUGUCUGAAUCUGGGUCGACCACGAUCCAACCCUAAAUACUAAUACCAGAUCGAUAGUGCACAAGUACCGUGAGGGAAAGGUGAAAAGAACUGAGGUGAUCAGAGUGAAAUAGAACCUGAAACCAUUUGCUUACAAUCAUUCAGAGCACUAUGUAGCAAUACAGUGUGAUGGACUGCCUUUUGCAUAAUGAGCCUGCGAGUUGUGGUGUCUGGCAAGGUUAAGCAAACGCGAAGCCGUAGCGAAAGCGAGUCUGAAUAGGGCGCUUAGUCAGAUGCUGCAGACCCGAAACGAAGUGAUCUAUCCAUGAGCAAGUUGAAGCUAGUGUAAGAACUAGUGGAGGACUGAACCCAUAGGCGUUGAAAAGCCCCGGGAUGACUUGUGGAUAGGGGUGAAAGGCCAAUCAAACUUCGUGAUAGCUGGUUCUCUCCGAAAUAUAUUUAGGUAUAGCGUUGUGUCGUAAUAUAAGGGGGUAGAGCACUGAAUGGGCUAGGGCAUACACCAAUGUACCAAACCCUAUCAAACUCCGAAUACCUUAUAUGUAAUCACAGCAGUCAGGCGGCGAGUGAUAAAAUCCGUCGUCAAGAGGGAAACAACCCAGACUACCAGCUAAGGUCCCUAAAUCUUACUUAAGUGGAAAACGAUGUGAAGUUACUUA